rnacentral:rRNA from 1 species
AAAAAGUAGCGGAUGAGCUGUGGAUAGGGGUGAAGGGCUAAACAAAUCUGGAAAUAGCUGGUUCUCUCCGAAAACUAUUGAGGUAGUGCCUCGUGAUACACCGUCGGGGGUAGAGCACUGUUAUGGCUAGGGGGUCAUGGCGACUUACCAAACCAUUGCGAACUCCGAAUACCGAUAAGUGCUUUCACGGGAGACAGUGCACCGGGUGCUAACGUCCGGACACAAGAGGGAAACAACCCAGACCGCCAGCUAAGGUCCCAAAUAACUAGCUAAGUGGCAAACGAAGUGGGAAGGCUAAAACAGUCAGGAGGUUGGCUUAGAAGCAGCCAUCCUUUAAAGAAGGCGUAAUAGCUCACUGAUCGAGUCGUCCUGCGCGGAAGAUGUAACGGGGCUCAAGCUAGUAACCGAAGCUGCGGAUGCACAGCAAUGUGCAUGGUAGGAGAGCGUUCCGUGAGCCUGCGAAGGUGGGGUGUGAACCCUGCUGGAGGUAUCGGAAGUGCGAAUGCUGACAUGAGUAGCGUUAAAGGGAGUGAAAAGCUCCCUCGCCGAAAGCCCAAGGUUUCCUGCGCCACGUUCAUCGGCGCAGGGUGAGUCGGCCCCUAAGACGAGGCGGAAACGCGUAGUCGAUGGGAAACAGGUCAAUAUUCCUGUACCUCGUUGUGAUGCGAUGGGGGGACGGAGAAGGUUAUGCCGGCCGGGUGUUGGAUGUCCCGGCUCAAGCGUGUAGGAGUGCCGUCCAGGCAAAUCCGGAUGGCUUAUCCAAGGCGUGAUAACGAGCGCUCUUUUGAGUGCGAAGUGGCAGAUACCCUGCUUCCAAGAAAAGCCCCUAAGCUUCAGUCACAUCGGGACCGUACCGCAAACCGACACUGGUGGGCGAGAUGAAUAUUCUCAGGCGCUUGAGAGAACUCAGGAGAAGGAACUCGGCAAAUUGACACCGUAACUUCGGAAGAAGGUGUGCCUUUAGUAGGUGAAGUCCCUCGCGGAUGGAGCCCAAUGAGGUUGCAAAAAUCGGUGGCUGCGACUGUUUAUUAAAAACACAGCACUCUGCUAACACAAAAGUGGAUGUAUAGGGUGUGACGCCUGCCCGGUGCCGGAAGGUUAAGUGAUGGGGUGCAAGCUCUUGAUCGAAGCCCCGGUAAGCGGCGGCCGUAACUAUAACGGUCCUAAGGUAGCGAAAUUCCUUGUCGGGUAAGUUCCGACCUGCACGAAUGGCGUAACGAUGGCCACACUGUCUCCUCCUGAGACUCAGCGAAGUUGAAAUGUUUGUGAUGAUGCAAUCUACCCGCGGCUCGACGGAAAGACCCCGUGCACCUUUACUGUAGCUUUGCAUUGGACUGUGAACCGAUCUGUGG